rnacentral:rRNA from 1 species
UACGUAGGGUGCAAGCGUUAAUCGGAAUUACUGGGCGUAAAGCGUGCGCAGGCGGCUUUGCAAGACAGAUGUGAAAUCCCCGGGCUUAACCUGGGAACUGCAUUUGUGACUGCAAGGCUGGAGUGCGGCAGAGGGGGAUGGAAUUCCGCGUGUAGCAGUGAAAUGCGUAGAUAUGCGGAGGAACACCGAUGGUGAAGGCAAUCCCCUGGGCCUGCACUGACGCUCAUGCACGAAAGCGUGGGGAGCAAACAGG